UUUUAUGUAAUCAUUUUAAAUGUAAUUAAUGACACUACUCUCUUUCCACACAGAAUAAGUUCACCUCAUAACCAGGCAGUAAUGACAUAUCUGCUGGAGGAAUUAGAACAAAAUUGAAGACGACUUUUGCAGAUGCAGACCCUGAGUGUAUAAAGGCAUUUUUGAAGGACUUACUAUGAGACAUUGUGGAGGAAAUACUUUUUGUCUCAGCCAGGAAAGUCCCAGCUAAGAGACUCCAUUAAGAUAGGGGCUAAAAACUGACAAAGGAAAGGACAAUUGCUGGAGUCCAGGUCUAGUCAUCCAAACAGAUGCAUAGAGAGAACUGUAGAAGACUGCAAUUCUGGACCUGAUGUCCGAUGAAGAGGAUGCCAUCGUUGAUAGAAGACUGGUGUGGGUUGUGAGGUCUCCAUCUCACAGGAACCCACAAUUGUCUGAGCUUUGCCAGCAGCUUCAGUCUAGAUUGGAGGCGGAUAUGCGCUAUGCUCUUACACACCAUCAGCGUGUAAGAGCUGAUGGAAUCAGGCCAGAAGAAGAUUCAUUUUUGGAACUUUAAUAAGCACUGGUGCAUGUGUUUGUUUCAUUGCUUUUAAUUUA